rnacentral:rRNA from 1 species
CCUACGGGCGGCAGCAGUGAGGAAUAUUGGUCAAUGGACGAGAGUCUGAACCAGCCAAGUAGCGUGAAGGAUGACUGCCCUAUGGGUUGUAAACUUCUUUUAUAUGGGAAUAAAAUGUUCCACGUGUGGGAUUUUGUAUGUACCAUAUGAAUAAGGAUCGGCUAACUCCGUGCCAGCAGCCGCGGUAAUACGGAGGGUCCGAGCGUUAUCCGGAUUUAUUGGGUUUAAAGGGAGCGUAGGUGGAUUGUUAAGUCAGUUGUGAAAGUUUGCGUCUCAACCGUAAAAUUGCAGUUGAAACUGGCAGUCUUGAGUACAGUAGAGGUGGGCGGAAUUCGUGGUGUAGCGGUGAAAUGCUUAGAUAUCACGAAGAACUCCGAUUGCGAAGGCAGUUCACUGGACUGCAACUGACACUGAGGCUCGAAAGUGUGGGUAUCAAACAGGAUUAGAUACCCUAGUAGUC